UCCGGUUUGGCACCGGCGGUCUCCGAUGAGUCCCCGGCAUUACCCGCUGGCAACAUCGGACAGGGGUUGCGCUCGUUGCGCCACUUAAGGCAACACCUCACGGCACGAGCUGACGACAGCCAUGCAGCACCUGUGCGGGCUCCCGAAGGAGGACCGGCUUUCACCGGCUUCACCCCGCAUGUCAAGCCCUGGUAAGGUGGGGAUGACGUUAGGAUAG
rnacentral:misc_RNA from 1 species